UGGGGAAUAUUGCACAAUGGGCGCAAGCCUGAUGCAGCGACGCCGCGUGGGGGAUGACGGCCUUCGGGUUGUAAACCUCUUUCAAUAGGGACGAAGCGCAAGUGACGGUACCUAUAGAAGAAGCACCGGCCAACUACGUGCCAGCAGCCGCGGUAAUACGUAGGGUGCGAGCGUUGUCCGGAAUUACUGGGCGUAAAGAGCUCGUAGGUGGUUUGUCGCGUUGUUCGUGAAAACUCACAGCUUAACUGUGGGCGUGCGGGCGAUACGGGCAGACUGGAGUACUGCAGGGGAGACUGGAAUUCCUGGUGUAGCGGUGGAAUGCGCAGAUAUCAGGAGGAACACCGGUGGCGAAGGCGGGUCUCUGGGCAGUAACUGGCGCUGAGGAGCGAAAGCGUGGGGAGCGAACAGGAUUAGAUACCCUGGUAGUCCACGCCGUAAACGGUGGGUACUAGGUGUGGGUUUCCUUCCUUGGGAUCCGUGCCGUAGCUAACGCAUUAAGUA
rnacentral:rRNA from 1 species